rnacentral:tRNA from 1 species
AAGUAAGAAGCAAACCUUGCAUUUAGUUUCGACCUAAAAUUUUGAUUAAACUUUAAUCCUUACUUG